rnacentral:rRNA from 1 species
GAUGAACGCUGGCGGCGUGCCUAAUACAUGCAAGUCGAGCGAACAGACGAGGAGCUUGCUCCUCUGACGUUAGCGGCGGACGGGUGAGUAACACGUGGAUAACCUACCUAUAAGACUGGGAUAACUUCGGGAAACCGGAGCUAAUACCGGAUAAUAUAUUGAACCGCAUGGUUCAAUAGUGAAAGACGGUUUUGCUGUCACUUAUAGAUGGAUCCGCGCCGCAUUAGCUAGUUGGUAAGGUAACGGCUUACCAAGGCAACGAUGCGUAGCUGACCUGAGAGGGUGAUCGGCCACACUGGAACUGAGACACGGUCCAGACUCCUACGGGAGGCAGCAGUAGGGAAUCUUCCGCAAUGGGCGAAAGCCUGGCGGAGCAACGCCGCGUGAGUGAUGAAGGUCUUCGGAUCGUAAACCUCUGUUAUUAGGGAAGAACAAAUGUGUAAGUAACUAUGCACGUCUUGACGGUACCUAAUCAGAAAGCCACGGCUAACUACGUG